rnacentral:rRNA from 1 species
UUGCCAGCCCGCUCAAGAAACUUAAAGUGAAGUUGACGGGGCCCGCACAAGCGGUGGAGUAUGUGGUUUAAUUCGAUGCAACGCGAAGAACCUUACCUGGUCUUGACAUCCCGGAGACCCUUAGGAAACUAGGGGUGCUUCCAUCUGGAAGAAUCUGGAGACAGGUGCUGCAUGGCUGUCGUCAGCUCGUGUCGUGAGAUGUUGGGUUAAGUCCCGCAACGAGCGCAACCCUUGCCUUUAGUUGCCAGCAGUUCGGCUGGGCACUCUAAAGGGACUGCCGGUGUUAAACCGGAGGAAGGUGGGGAUGACGUCAAGUCCUCAUGGCCUUUAUGACCAGGGCUACACACGUACUACAAUGGCCGAUACAAAGGGCAGCGACACUGCGAGGUGAAGCCAAUCCCGUAAAAUCGGUCUCAGUCCGGAUUGGAGUCUGCAACUCGACUCCAUGAAGUUGGAAUCGCUAGUAAUCGUGGAUCAGCAUGCCACGGUGAAUACGUUCCCGGGCCUU